GCCUGUUUGCUCCCCACGCUUUCGCACCCCAGUGUCAGUAUUAGUCCAGGUGGCCGCCUUCGCCACUGAUGUUCCUUCCUAUAUCUACGCAUUUCACCGCUACACAGGAAAUUCCGCCACCCUCUACUAUACUCUAGCCAGACAGUUCUAACUGCAGUUCCCAGGUUGAGCCCAGGGCUUUCACAGCUAGCUUAUCAAACCACCUACGCGCGCUUUACGCCCAGUAAUUCCGAUUAACGCUCGCACCCUCCGUAUUACCGCGGCUGCUGGCACGGAGUUUGCCGGUGCUUCUUCUGCAGGUAACGUCAAGGCUCAAAAGUAUUAAUUUUGAGCUUUUCCUCCCCACUGAAAGUGCUUUACAACCCUAGAGCCUUCUUCACACACGCGGCAUGGCUGCAUCAGGCUUUCGCCCAUUGUGCAAUAUUCCCCACUGCUGCCUCCCGUAGGAGUCUGGGCCGUGUCUCAGUCCCAGUGUGGCUGAUCAUCCUCUCAGACCAGCUACAGAUCGUCGCCUUGGUGAGCCAUUACCCCACCAACUAGCUAAUCUGACUUGGGCUCAUCCAAUAGCGCAAGGUCCGAAGAUCCCCUGCUUUCUCCCGUAGGACGUAUGCGGUAUUAGCGUGCGUUUCCACACGUUAUCCCCCACUAUUGGGCAGAUUCCCAAGCAUUACUCACCCGUCCGCCGCUCUACUCACACCGAAGUGUUUUCGCGCUCGACUUGCAUGUGUUAGGCCUGCCGCCAGCGUUCAAUCUGAGCCAGGAUCAAACUCU
rnacentral:rRNA from 1 species